rnacentral:rRNA from 1 species
GUCCAGACUCCUACGGGAGGCAGCAGUGGGGAAUUUUGGACAAUGGGCGCAAGCCUGAUCCAGCAAUGCCGCGUGAGUGAAGAAGGCCUUCGGGUUGUAAAGCUCUUUUGUCAGGGAAGAAACGGUGAGGGCUAAUAUCCCUUGCUAAUGACGGUACCUGAAGAAUAAGCACCGGCUAACUACGUGCCAGCAGCCGCGGUAAUACGUAGGGUGCAAGCGUUAAUCGGAAUUACUGGGCGUAAAGCGUGCGCAGGCGGUUUUGUAAGUC